rnacentral:rRNA from 1 species
GACGAACGCUGGCGGCGUGCUUAACACAUGCGAGUCGAACGGAAAGGCCCUGCUUUUGUGGGGUGCUCGAGUGGCGAACGGGUGAGUAACACGUGAGUAACCUGCCCUUGACUUUGGGAUAACUUCAGGAAACUGGGGCUAAUACCGGAUAGGAGCGCCUGCUGCAUGGUGGGGGUUGGAAAGUUUCGGCGGUUGGGGAUGGACUCGCGGCUUAUCAGCUUGUUGGUGGGGUAGUGGCUUACCAAGGCUUUGACGGGUAGCCGGCCUGAGAGGGUGACCGGCCACAUUGGGACUGAGAUACGGCCCAGACUCCUACGGGAGGCAGCAGUGGGGAAUAUUGCACAAUGGGCGGAAGCCUGAUGCAGCAACGCCGCGUGCGGGAUGACGGCCUUCGGGUUGUAAACCGCUUUCGCCUGUGACGAAGCGUGAGUGACGGUAAUGGGUAAAGAAGCACCGGCUAACUACGUG